rnacentral:lncRNA from 1 species
CAACACAAAGAAUGAACCUUAAUGACUCCACUGACCAGAGACUUAAUAGGCCUAAGUACAUUAAAGUCAUGUACGAUAAAAGUGUAGUUAAUACUAUCACCAAACUCCUAAAAGGCGAGCAGUGUAUAGUGGUCAAGAAAAGAGACCACACAGUAUUUGAUCUGAUGAGAAACGAUAAAGACCGUAUACCUGAUGAUAGAAAAGCUGGAAUAUAUGCCAUUCCCUUAUAUAACAGUGACGAAAACUGCACACAGUGGUACAUAGGUAGCACGAAAAGAAACUUAAAAAAGAAAAUAGAAUAACAUAAGUUUGAU